GUCCGUGCACAAUAAGCCGAUGCUCUGGAUGAUGAACACAGGAAGGAAGCAUGGUAGUGUGCACGGAGAAGGAGGAGGUCUGCAUGUCUGCUCGCUUUGAUGCCCUCGGGCUCUGAUCUCGCGGGCCUGGAUUCGACCUACACGC
rnacentral:snoRNA from 1 species